rnacentral:lncRNA from 1 species
UGACAACCUUUUUUUGGCUCUCAAAGGUCAAUAAUUUCUCAAACAUGCCAAGUCUGUACAUGUUUAAUAAUCUAAUCUGUUUAUUUUUUAUUUUGCUUUUCUAGAUUGCCAAUCAUUCCUGUUGAACUACAUUGUUCAUUACAAUGAAUCAGAUGCAGAUUCUUACAACUAUGUUAAUUUGUUCACCUGAUUGGGGAAAACCUGAGACUAUUUGAUCUUAUAUUGGAAUGCCUACCAAUUUUACAUAGCCUCAGGCAAUGUUUAUAUAAUUAAUCUUGAGUAAUAGAGAUGCUGUACCCCCUGACGGUGUGACCUUGCUACCUGGAUCAUCCCACUAGGCAAGACAAGUUCAAAACUUUCCAUGCAAACACUUGCAUGGCAGUUGCUAUAAUAGGAUAUGAAUAUAGUUUUGCCUUGCCAGGGUGGCUCGGGGGGUAGGAUUUCCCUAGUACCCGGAGACCAUAUAAACAGGCCGUCAGAUUACUGUAAUAGUUUAAUUGAGGUUCAAAAAAGCAGCCCCCCCCCAAGUGGUAGGCCUGCUCCCCAAAUCCAGCCCCCCUUGGAAGAUGUACUGUAAAGGUAGACAAUUUUACUUGUUAGCCCAACUUUAUUAUUCUGUCUAACACCAGACGAUCCAGUUAACCCAUCGAGUUGCAUUGCAUGUGCCCUGAUGCACCCUACUUUAUUAUUUUACUCUGUCUAACGCCAGACGAUUUUACUCGUCAAGGGGUGAGCACACUUUAACAGGCAAAGUAUUAAUUGGGAAUACUUUCUCUUUUAAUGGGAAACUCUUUAUCAAUAAAAGGAACAAUGCAAUUAUUCAUAGUAUUUAAUUUUUCAUAUAAAGCAAAGACUGUAAGAGGAAACAUGGAUCAUUGGCUACUUUUUUUAUUUAGUAUAAAUUUUCAUGACAACAUGUGGGGUCAACUAUAAAGGAAACAGUUAUUGCCUAUUUUGGAAUAAAAAAAUUAGAAUUAUAGCAAUAUUCA